rfam:Prevotella timonensis CRIS 5C-B1 contig00009, whole genome shotgun sequence.
GGAGUAAAGCUUGCCGUGAGAAGUCAGCAGAGGUCAUAGUACCCAAGGUACGUGUGCCUACAGGGAAGGAC